GCCGAAAUAGCUCAGUUGCCGUUAGACUAUAGUGCGAAAGGUCCCUGGUUCGAUCCCGGUUUUCGUCA
rnacentral:tRNA from 1 species